AAACCAGCACCUCAAGUGGUCAGGAUGAUUAUUGGGCCUAAAGCAUCCGUAGCCGGCUCUGUAAGUUUUCGGUUAAAUCUGUACGCUUAACGUACAGGCUGCCGGAAAUACUGCAGAGCUAGGGAGUGGGAGAGAUAGACGGUACUCGGGAGGAAGUGGUAAAAUGCUUUGAUCUCUCGAUGACCACCUGUGGCGAAGGCGGUCUAUCAGAACACGUCCGACGGUGAGGGAUGAAAGCUGGGGGAGCAAACCGGAUUAGAAACCCCGGUAGUCC
rnacentral:rRNA from 1 species